CGAACGGCGAGCGCUGCGAGCACCCGAGAGGAGCGCGAGCACCAGCAUGGCGGGGCUCCGACGCCCGCAGCCCGGCUGCUACUGCCGCACCGCCGCGGCCGUGAAUCUCCUUUUGGGCGUCUUCCAGGUUCUUCUGCCCUGCUGUCGCCCGGGAGGGGCUCAGGGACAAGCGAUUGAGCCCUUACCGAAUGUGGUGGAGCUGUGGCAAGCAGAAGAAGGGGAACUCCUGCUACCCACUCAGGGUGAUUCUGAAGAAGAUAUGGAGGAGCAGUCUCAAGAACAGAGCUUCUCAGACAAACUCUUCAGUGGAAAGGGCUUGCAUUUUCAGCCAUCAGUUCUAGAUUUUGGAGUGCAGUUCCUGGGGCAUCCAGCAGCAAAGGUCCUUUAUGCUUACAACCCCAGUACGGAGAGCGAGGUUGUGGUGAAUUCCGUGUUUACGUCUGCUAGACAUUUUCAUGUGCCUCGUGUUCACUGCAGGGUAAUUCCUGCAAUGGGAAAAACUUCUUUUAGAAUCAUUUUCUUACCUACUGAAGAAGGAAACAUUGAAAGUUCUUUAUUUAUUAAUACCUCUUCACAUGGGGUCCUUUCCUAUCAUGUGUCUGGAAUUGGCACACGCAGACUUUCUGCUGAAGAGUCCGCAAAGCCACUACCCAAUGCUUACUUCCUGCUCCCACAGGUUCAGAGCAUUCAGCUUUCACAAACACAGGCAGAAACCACUAAUACUAGCCUCUUGCAGGUGCAACUGGAAUGCAGUUUACAUAAUAAAGUGUGUCAACAAUUAAAGAGUUGUUAUCUGGAAUCGGAUGAUGUUUUACGGCUACAAAUGAGUAUAAUUGUAUCAAAAGACAGCUCCUCAAAAGAAUUUGAAGAGAAUACACAAGAUUUGUUAGAUCAUCUCUCUAUAGUUUGUGUAGCUACAGAUAAAUCUGAAACCUCAGAUGAUUCUGCAAUUAAUAUGUACAUAUUACAUUCAGGAAACAGCCUUAUAUGGAUACAGGAUGUACAUCAUUUCUCACCGAGAGAUGCUCUGUCUCUGAAGUUUGAACCAGUAUUGCUGCCUAUGUCUACCACAAACUUUACAAAAAUUGCCUCUUUUACUUGCAAAGCUACAUCAUGUGAUGAGGGAAUUAAUUAUAUAGAAGAUGUGAAGAAAACAAAAAACACUCCAACACUAAAAGCAUGCCUGUCCUCUCCUGUGGUUCCAGGGUAUUUUAGAAUGGACUCUGCUGCAGCCCAGUUCCACAUAGAGACUCAGGAGCCCUCGUCAGGAGUCUGGUCCAUGUGGUAUCUCAACCAUUUUGACCGGAGUAUUGUGCUAACGGAAGUGUUUGUUUCCAAGGAGACCAAGCGCAUUUUAAAGAUUCUGAAUUUCACUGGCCCUUUAUUUCUACCUCCAGGCUGUUGGAAUAUAUUUUCUUUGAAACUUGCUGUUAAAGACAUUGCCAUAAAUCUAUUCACCAAUGUAUUUUUGACUACAAACAUAGGUGCCAUUUUUGCAAUACCUCUGCAGAUUUACUCAGCACCCACCAAGGAAGGGAGUCUGGGUUUUGAAGUGAUAGCACAUUGUGGCAUGCAUUAUUUCAUGGGAAAGUCAAAAGCAGAAAUCCCUAAUUGGCAAAGGAGCCUUUCUCUGGAUCAGUCUACCUGGGACAUGGAUUCAGAACUUGGAAAUAAAUUGUAUGAAAGAUGGAAAAAAUUAAAAAAUGGUGAUGUUUGCAAGAGAAACGCUUUAGGAACGACUAGGUUUGCCCACGUGAAGAAAUCCAAGGAGCCUGAAUCCUUUGCAUUCUUUCUGCCCCGGUUGGUGGCAGAGCCUGGCCUCAUGUUAAACUUCAGUGCAACUUCCCUGAGGAACAGGGUGGUGAAGUACUUUGUGGUGAAGAACCCAUCCUCGUUGCCUGUCUCUCUGCAGCUCCUGCCUGUCUCCUCGUAUCCCAGACCCGAAGCUGCCAUGCGCCUCCUGCACAAAUGGUUUGGAACUGAUAUGCAGAUGAUUAAUUUCACAACGAGUGAAUUUCAGCUCACCAAAGCUUGCCCUUACCGGGGUGCGCGUUCUGAGGAAUCCAGGUUUGGCAUCCUCCACUUGCAUUUGCAGCCAUUAGAGGGGAGAAGGGUCGGUGUAGUUUUCACACCAGUUGACUAUGGGAAAGUGACCUCACUCAUACUCAUCAGGAAUAACCUAACUGUUCUUGACCUGAUUGGUGUGGAAGGGUUUGGAGCGAGAGAGUUACUCAAAGUAGGCGGAAGACUUCCUGGUGCGGGGGGUUCACUCCGCUUUAAGGUGCCUGAAUCCACGCUGAUGGACUGCCGUCGACAGCUAAAGGACAGCAAGCAAAUCUUAUCUAUCACAAAGAACUUUAAAGUUGAGAACAUUGGACCUCUUCCUGUAACCGUGUCAUCUCUGAAAAUUAAUGGUUAUAACUGCCAAGGCUAUGGCUUUGAAGUGCUAGAUUGUCACCAGUUUUCUCUGGAUCCAAACACAUCCCGAGACAUAAGCAUUGUGUUUACCCCCGACUUCACCUCUUCCUGGGUCAUUCGGGAACUGACUCUGGUAACUGCUGCAGACCUGGAAUUUCACUUCACUCUGAACGUGACCCUCCCUCAUCACCUGUUGCCCUUGUGUGCAGAUGUAGUGCCAGGACCCAGCUGGGAAGAGUCAUUCUGGAGGCUCACGGUGUUCUUUGUCAGUCUGUCCCUGUUAGGUGUCAUUUUAAUAGCCUUCCAACAAGCACAGUACAUUCUUGUGGAAUUCAUGAAAACAAGACAGAGACAGAAUUCUAACUCAUCUUCUCAGCAAAACAACAGUCCGAUGGAUGUAAUCAACCCUCAUUCCCACAAAAACAAUUGCAAGAACUUUCUCGACGCCUAUGGCCCCUCUGAUAAAGGCAGGGGGAGAAGCUGUCUUCCAGUGAACACUCCUCAGAGCAGGGUUCAGAACGCAGCAAAGAGGAGUCCAGCUACCUAUGGGCACUCUCAGAAGAAGCAUAAGUGCUCAGUGUACUACAGCAAACACAAAACCAGCUCGUCGCUCACCAGCAGUGCCAGCACGACUACUGAGGAGAAACAGACUUCGCCCCUGGGCAGCUCCUUGUCUGUGCCCAAAGAGGACACGUGUACUGACAUUGUGAGUGAGAACUGGAUAAACCUCAAAUACGCAAGUGGCAUAAAUGUCAACCUGCAAAAGAAUUUAGCCCUUCCCAAAAACUUACUGAACAAAGAAGAAAACACACUGAAAAACACAGUUGUCAAUAAUGCUUCUUCAGAAUGUAAUCUGAAGGAGGGAAUACAGACAUGUAUGUUUCCUAAGGAAACUGACAUUAAAACUUCAGAAACUGUAUCAGAGCUCAAGGAACGCGAGCUCUGUCCUCUGAAGACCUCGAAGAAACUACCUGAAAACCAUUUGCCAAGAAAUUCACCUCAGUACCAGUCAGACUUGCCAGAAAUUUCCAGGAAAAACCAUGGGAGUAGCCAGCAAGUGCCUGUUAAGAAUGAAGCAGACAGUUGUGAAACUUUGAAAAGGCAGAGUGACACAAAGUCUUCCUCAGAGAAGAAGAAUCACAAAGCAUCUAAAGAAGACAUUUGUCCUGAGAAACAGGAUGUGCCUUCAUCAGAGCAAGAAGAUCCUUAUAGGAAGAAGAAGCUGCAGGAGAAAAAGGAAGGAAAUUUACAAAAUUUAAAUUGGAAUAAAAAUCGUACGUGUAGAAAAAACAAGAAAAGGGGUGCUACUCAGGCUUCAAGGCCUUCUGAACAGAGUGAAUUAAAGCUUUGCAGUGAAUUUGAGAGGUCUGAGCUAAGCAGCGACGUGGAGAUAAGAAACUGGUGUCUCCAAGAAAACACUGGGGAGAUUUGUAAGACAGAUGCUGAAAUUGGAAGCUCACCUUCAGCACAGGGAGAGACAGAGAGCUACUACCGGAAGCCGGAGAAGAAAUGUGCGGAGAAGUUCUGCUCAGACUCCAGCUCCGACUGUGGCAGCUCGUCGGGGAGCGUGCGCGCCAGCCGGGGCAGCUGGGGGAGCUGGAGCAGUGCCAGCAGCAAUGACGGGGACAAGAAGCCGCUGGUGGGCCCGCAGCACUGCCUUCCCUCCGGAGACUCUGUUGCCCAAAAUGAUUUUCCUUCUGAAACUCCUAUCGCCUUCAAUCUUUCUCACAGUAUCUGCAAUCCCAUGUAAACGUGAAUACUCUCUCCCAGUAUGCAGAAACUCCCUGUCCCAGCCUCCCCGACGUGCCUUCAGGUGUGGAUGAGGAUAAAGGUCUUUACCCACCUGGAGACCUGUGGCCUACCCAGCCAGUGUGUCUGACAAGCGGCUUAAACUGCAGUCUGGAGAACAGCGUGCCUUGUGUGAUGCGAGAGCCGCCUCCGGUUCAUAAUAGUUUCAUUGAUUGGAGCACAACCUGUGAAGGCCAGUUUCCUAAUGUGUACUGCCCCCUGGAGCUGAAUGAUUACAAUACCUUUCCAGAAGAGAACAUGAAUUACCCCAAUGGCUUCCCCUGUCCUGCAGACGUUCAGACGGAUUAUAUUGAUCAUAACUCACAGUCUACCUGGAACACCCCAGCCAGCAUGCCCACUGCUUGGGGACAUGCCAGCUUCAUCAACUCUCCGCCCUACCUCACAAGCACACGAAGCUUGUCUCCAAUGUCUGGACUGUUUGGUUCCAUCUGGGCCCCACAAAGUGAUGUGUACGAAAACUGCUGCCCCAUCAAUCCCACCACGGAGCACACGACUCACAUGGAAAACCAGGCGGUCAUGUGCAAGGAAUACUAUCCAGGGUUCAACCCCUUCCGUGCCUACAUGAAUCUGGACAUAUGGACUACCACAGCCAACAGGAAUGCCAACUUCCCGCUCUCUAGAGACUCAAGUUACUGUGGGAACGUGUGACAGGAAUUUGGCUUUUAACAAUGUGAAUAAAGAUGCUUGUGUUUUGAUUACUAGUGUGUAAACUGGUUGUUGAGCUAGAUUAUGACAUUGGUGGAUAUUUUGGCACUUUUAUAUGAAAAUAAAUUUUUUUUAAUGAAA